UACGAAGGGUGCAAGCGUUACUCGGAAUUACUGGGCGUAAAGCGUGCGUAGGCGGUUUGUUAAGUCCGUUGUGAAAGCCCUGGGCUCAACCUGGGAAUUGCAGUGGAUACUGGCGAGCUAGAGUGCGGUAGAGGAUGGUGGAAUUCCCGGUGUAGCGGUGGAAUGCGUAGAGAUCGGGAAGAAUACCUGUGGCGAAGGCGGCCAGCUGGGCCAGAUCCGACACUGAGGCGCGAAAGCGUGGGGAGCAAACAGG
rnacentral:rRNA from 1 species